rnacentral:rRNA from 1 species
AAUCAAGCGCGAGAAGGGCGUUUGGUGGAUGCCUUGGCAGCAAGAGGCGAUGAAGGACGUGAUACUCUGCGAUAAGUCAUGGGGAGCCGAGAAUAGGCUUUGAUCCAUGAAUCUCCGAAUGGGGCAACCCACCUGAUACUCAGUUAUUAUUAGCCGCAAGGUUCUUGAUAAUUGGGUAAAACAGGUACUUGAGACCUGAAUAUAUAGGGUUUUAAGAGCGAACCCGGGGAACUGAAACAUCUAAGUACCCGGAGGAAAGGAAAUCAAUUGAUACUCCCCUAGUAGCGGCGAGCGAACGGGGACCAGCCGAGCCUUGAGCGUGAUCAGAACCAGUUGGAAAGCUGGGCCAUAGCGGGUGACAGCCCCGUAUGAGAAGCGUGAUGGGACGUAUUAAGUAGGGCGGGACACGUGAAAUCCUGUCUGAAGAUCGGGGGACCACCCUCGAAGGCUAAGUACUCCUUGCUGACCGAUAGCGAACCAGUACCGUGAGGGAAAGGUGAAAAGCACCCCGACGAGGGGAGUGAAACAGUACCUGAAACCGAGCGCCUACAAUCAGUCGGAGCUUGACUGGACUCUUAUGACACUCUGAAGAGUUUAUAAGUGUCCAGUCUUGUGACGGCGUACCUUUUGUAUAAUGGGUCAUCGACUUGGUCUAUCUAGCAAGCUUAAGCCGUUAGGUGUAGGCGCAGCGAAAGCGAGUCUGAAUAGGGCGAUGAGUUAGAUGGAUCAGACCCGAAACCGAGUGAUCUAGGCAUGACCAGGAUGAAGGUACGGUAACACGUACUGGAGGUCCGAACCCACACCUGUUGAAAAAGGUCGGGAUGAGUUGUGCCUAGGGGUGAAAGGCCAAUCAAACUCGGAGAUAGCUGGUUCUCUGCGAAAUCUAUUUAGGUAGAGCGUCAUCCGAAUACCCCGGGGGGUAGAGCACUGGAUGGGUAAUGGGGCCCCACAGGCUUACUGAUCCUAACCAAACUCCGAAUACCCGGGAGUACUAGAUGGCAGACACACUGCGGAUGCUAACGUCCGUAGUGGAGAGGGAAACAACCCUGACCUACAGCUAAGGCCCCCAAUUCGUGGCUAAGUGGGAAAGCAGGUGGGACGACCAAAACAACCAGGAGGUUGGCUUAGAAGCAGCCAUCCUUUAAAGAUAGCGUAACAGCUCACUGGUCUAAAUAAGUUGUCCUGCGGCGAAGAUGUAACGGGGCUCAAGCCACGAGCCGAAGCUUAGGAUGCCGUAAGGCAUGGUAGCAGAGCGUAGUGUGACAUAGGACCUGUCCUCUUUUGCAUCCUUCGGGAUGUAGCGGAGGAACGGGUUCUUUCUGUGAAGCCGGCCUGUGAGGGAUCCGGUGGAGAGAUCACUAGCGAGAAUGAUGACAUGAGUAGCGACAAAGAGUGUGAGAGACACUCUCGCCGAAAGUCCAAGGGUUCCUGCUUAAAGCUAAUCUGAGCAGGGUAAGCCGGCCCCUAAGGCGAGGCCGAAAGGCGUAGUCGAUGGGAACCAGGUUAAUAUUCCUGGGCCAGGAGAUGGUGACGGAUUGCGGAGGUUGUUCAUCCUUAUCGGAUUGGAUGGGCCGCUGAGCAGUCCCUGGAAAUAGCCCUCCUUCGGACCGUACCCGAAACCGACACAGGUGGACUGGUAGAGAAUACCAAGGCGCUUGAGAGAACGAUGUUGAAGGAACUCGGCAAAAUACCUCCGUAAGUUCGCGAGAAGGAGGCCCGGUUCCUAGGCAACUAGGGGCUGGGGGCACAAACCAGGGGGUGGCGACUGUUUACUAAAAACACAGGGCUCUGCGAAGUCGCAAGACGACGUAUAGGGUCUGACGCCUGCCCGGUGCCUGAAGGUUAAAAGGAGGGGUGCAAGCUCUGAAUUGAAGCCCAGGUAAACGGCGGCCGUAACUAUAACGGUCCUAAGGUAGCGAAAUUCCUUGUCGGGUAAGUUCCGACCUGCACGAAUGGCGUAACGACUUCCCCGCUGUCUCCAACAUCGACUCAGCGAAAUUGAAUUGCCUGUCAAGAUGCAGGCUUCCCGCGGUUAGACGGAAAGACCCCGUGCACCUUUACUACAGCUUCAGACUGGCAUCAGGCAUGUGAUGUGCAGGAUAGGUGGUAGGCUUCGAAGCAGGAACGCCAGUUUCUGUGGAGCCAUCCUUGAGAUACCACCCUUCGCCUGCUUGAUGUCUAACCGCGAACCGUUAUCCGGUUCCGGGACCCUCUGUGGCGGGUAGUUUGACUGGGGCGGUCGCCUCCUAAAUCGUAACGGAGGCGCGCGAAGGUUGGCUCAGAGCGGUCGGAAAUCGCUCGUUGAGUGCAAUGGCAGAAGCCAGCCUGACUGCGAGACUGACAAGUCGAGCAGAGUCGAAAGACGGCCAUAGUGAUCCGGUGGUCCCAAGUGGGAGGGCCAUCGCUCAACGGAUAAAAGGUACGCCGGGGAUAACAGGCUGAUACUGCCCAAGAGUCCAUAUCGACGGCAGUGUUUGGCACCUCGAUGUCGGCUCAUCUCAUCCUGGGGCUGGAGCAGGUCCCAAGGGUACGGCUGUUCGCCGUUUAAAGAGGUACGUGAGCUGGGUUUAGAACGUCGUGAGACAGUUCGGUCCCUAUCUGCCGUGGGUGUAGGAUACUUGAGAGGAGUUGCCCCUAGUACGAGAGGACCGGGGUGAACGAUCCACUGGUGGACCUGUUGUUGCGCCAGCAGCAGUGCAGGGUAGCUAUGAUCGGACAGGAUAACCGCUGAAGGCAUCUAAGCGGGAAGCCCCCCUCAAAACAAGGUAUCCCUGAGGGCCGUGGAAGACCACCACGUCGAUAGGCCGGAGAUGUAAGCGCAGCAAUGCGUUCAGUUGACCGGUACUAAUGGCCCGAUAGGCUUGAUUUG